GAAUGUGGACCCAGGCUCAACAUCUUUCUGGAGGCCACAUCACUGUUUGAAUUGAGAGAAGAGCAUACACAGAGAGAGAAAACGCGAGAGGAAGGAAGCCGCAUCACGGGGGCGGCCACAUCGAAGGUUUCCGCGGCGGAAGUCGCCGGCGACGAGAUGCUCGGCGAUCCCGGCGCCCCUCCAGAGUCCUCGCGCCCUGCUGGUGAGCUAGGGGAUAUAUGGUGCGAAUCUAGAUUCUGGGAUGGAGUUUGCAAAUGGAGAUGACGAUUUUUGGGUAUGUUUUUUUUUUUUGCGCUUUUUUUGGGUGUGAAUCACAAAUCUGAGGGAGCGAAUUAGUGUUUUGUUUGGCUUGACCUCGUACUUUUCUGAGUGCGAAAUGAAGAGAACAAAUUCCAUGGCCGACGUUGAAAUAGAGGUAGGUAGCUGAGAUUUUUUCAAAGGUAACUAUUGAAUUCUGCUGUGAUGUACUUGGACUUGGUUGUUACUGAUGUCCCUUCAAUUGCCUGCUUGCACUGAGCAUUGCCAAUGCUUGUUUGAAUUUUCUGAGGUAUUCGGCAUACUGAGAUUAUUAUUAUUUAUUUUCUAAGGCACUCGCAUUUGGCAUGACCCUGCAUUUUUUUACUUUUCUUGCAUGCUAGAACUUGAUGUGCAACAGAGUACCAGAUUAUAUUCAUCAAGGCAGAUAACUUAAAGAGUUUAUUUUUGUUGUUCAUGAAAGCACAUACAUGUUGUGCAAAUGCACUUGAAGAUAGCAAGGUGCAGGUGGCAGGUUCCAGCGACGGCGCCACUACCCCUGCUCGACGCGACCCCUUGCGGUGGCUGGCCUUGUUUGGCAGCCAUCCGGCGGCUGCUGCUCUGCGCUGGCCGGUGCUUCCCUACAUCGACGGUGACGACACGUGGUUUCCCUCUCGGUGCUGACGGUCCUCUCCGGCGGUCUGCUUCCCCGUCUCCUGCCUGCUCUACUUCGGCGGUAUUUGGGGUUCUGGUCUUGGGCCGGGGUGAAAUCCCUGCGCAGCGAUGGCCUGCGCUGACAACGGCGACACCUGAGAGUGCCGUAACCUCCACGGAGGCGCUGUCAUGGCCCAGACUGACCCUCUCCUCGAGCACCGGGGGAAACCCUUGGUCCAGUUCAUUGGACAAGGCAGCGGCGGCGUCUCAGCGCCAUUCCCUUCUUGAAGGCGUUGCUUGGGUCGCACUUGGAGUCCCCGAUGCGGCAACUGGAGAUGGUGGCCUCCCCGGUCUUCCGGCGAGGCUUGCUGGUAAUGCAAUGCUGUGAUGAGUGCUUCAGCGUAGAGCGUGGGCGUCCGGGGCGCUAUGUACGCCGGCGCCGGCAUGUCCAAGACGAUGGCUUCACUAGUCCUGGUUGGGUCCUGCCAUCCACCUGCCGUCUCCUAGGCACUUAUGGGUGGAAGGUACGUUGGCCUGGACAGCCCUGGAGAUGCGAUCUUCUUUGGAGGCGCCUGGCAACGGCUGUGAUGUGGCCUUGAGGCUCUGAGUCUAGUUACCUCACCGUUCAUGGUUGGAGGCUGGACAAGGCUAAACCUUUCGUAGUUGCAGUCUGUAGUUGGUAGCACCUCCUCGCCUGCUCGUUUGGUGAGGACGAUGAUGUGUGUGCGUGUGUCCCUCCUCUUGGGAGGUUGUACCUGUACUACUGUUCUCUUCCUGUUCAAUGAAAUGAAACGCAAACUCUUUUGCGUUUUCUCGAAAAAAAGAUGGUUGGGAUGCCAGAUUCAUCACCGUUUGUUGAUGUUGCACAUGUUGGACACCAAGAUUAACUGGGACUGGUCCGCAGCUGUUUGGAGUUCUUUGUGCCAUAGUUCCGUCCAGCACCUACAAAAUGAAGAGAAAACAUUGUUGCUGAGGUAUAUUUGGCCAUCCACAAGAAAGGAAUCUUCCAUACUGCUGCAGGAUUGCUGUUACAAACAUGAGAAGAGAGAAAAGAAAAUCAGAUCUAGAACAAAUCAGAGAAGAGAAGGCGGGAGGAAAGGUGGGAGGGGGAGAAAAUCAGGAGAUCAGACGCCCUUACACUAGUGAGUUUCUCCAUGCUUGUGGGCAUGAGGUUUUGCCUGGGUUCAGUCAAAAAGUACAGUUCAUAAAGCAGAGCAGCAAAUAUAUUUUUUAUCUUUUCCUA